rnacentral:rRNA from 1 species
UGGUACAGGAUGGACCCGCGUCUGAUUAGCUGGUUGGUGAGGUAACGGCUCACCAAGGCGACGAUCAGUAGCCGGCUUGCGAGAGUGAACGGCCACAUUGGGACUGAGACCCGGCCCAAACUCCUACGGGAGGCCGCAGCGGGGAAUAUUGCACAAUGGGGGGAACCCUGAUGCAGCGACGCCGCGUGAGUGAAGAAGUAUCGCGGUAUGUAAAGCUCUAUCAGCAGGGAAGAAAAUGACGGUACCUGACUAAGAAGCCCCGGCUAACUACGUGCCAGCAGCCGCGGUAAUACGGAGGGGGCAAGCG